CCUACGGGUGGCUGCAGUGGGGAAUAUUGCACAAUGGGCGCAAGCCUGAUGCAGCCAUGCCGCGUGUGUGAAGAAGGCCUUCGGGUUGUAAAGCACUUUCAGCGGGGAGGAAGGCGUUAAGGUUAAUAACCUUGGCGAUUGACGUUACCCGCAGAAGAAGCACCGGCUAACUCCGUGCCAACAGCCGCGGUAAUACGGAGGGUGCAAGCGUUAAUCGGAAUUACUGGGCGUAAAGCGCACGCAGGCGGUCUGUCAAGUCGGAUGUGAAAUCCCCGGGCUCAACCUGGGAACUGCAUUCGAAACUGGCAGGCUAGAGUCUUGUAGAGGGGGGUAGAAUUCCAGGUGUAGCGGUGAAAUGCGUAGAGAUCUGGAGGAAUACCGGUGGCGAAGGCGGCCCCCUGGACAAAGACUGACGCUCAGGUGCGAAAGCGUGGGGAGCAAACAGGAUUAGAUACCCUAGUAGUC
rnacentral:rRNA from 1 species